rnacentral:lncRNA from 1 species
CACGCUUUGACUUGUGUUCUGAUGGGAGAAAAAAUCUGCUGACCCCUGGUGUAGGAUGUAGAAGAGGAAUUUAAGGGAGAGCAGUCUGUUUAGAAUUUUCUUCAUACUGUCUACAGCCACUGCUUACCCCCAGAGGAGUCGUCAGAAGCAAAUUGCAGAAAAUGUGGCAGUUCUUAGCGUCUAAAAAGCAAAACAGAAGAGUGAAACAAGGAUUGAAGAAGGAAAUGUGAUGAGUCGGAACAAUUCUAGAUUGGAGAUGCCUCAUGACUUCUGAAGCUCAGGUCCAAGCAAAGUUUCUUUGCCAGGCCAAACUCCAACUGGAAGGAUAAGCUUGGCCUCUGAACUCAGAUGAAGCGCGGAUGAAACCUAUCCAUUUUUGCUGUUUUGGUGAAGCAGAAGCUCCACAUCUUAUGUUGUUGCUGAAUCAUGCUGUUCCUGUGGAGGAGUCUCAUUCAGUCCCAUGUGUACUAUUUUAGCAGAUUUUAGGACUCCCCAUUUUUAUCUGCAGUCUUGACUUGAAAUCUAGACUCACUUAUCGAAGUGACAUCUUCAUCUGGGUGUCCAGUAGGCAUCUCUGAUUGACCAUGUUCAAGACAGACUCUUGAUUCCUCCCCACCACCCCUUCCUCCUAAAGCAUCCCCCAGUUGUGUCAAGUGGCACCAUCUAUUUCCUGAGGCCUAAACCUUGGAGUUAACCUUGACUCUUCCAUUCUCUUCACACCCUAUAUCCAGUCUAUCGGCUCUACAUGUUGUUUUGUCUCUACCUUCAAAAAUAUAUCCACCUCCACUGCUGUCACCCAGGUACAAGCCACCAUUAGCCCUCUUUUUUUUUUUUUUUUUUGAGGAA